GCUGCCCACCCAGUUUCUGAUCAAGCCGAUGCUACGAUGUAUCCGAGGUUCGAAGAGAGCUCGAAGCGGAUACACCAGAGCAGGGUACUUUGGACAUCUGUGGGGGAGAAAUCUGAAACAUUUGCAGAUCCAAAUGUAAUAAAGGGGCAGUUUUUGCGG
rnacentral:rRNA from 1 species